rnacentral:rRNA from 1 species
CAGAAACUACAAAGGAAUUGUCGGGGCCCGCACAAGCGGAGGAGCAUGUGGUUUAAUUCGAUGAUACGCGAGGAACCUUACCUGGGCUCGAACGUAAGAUGACUGUAGGUGAAAGCUUACAUCUCUUCGGAGCAUUUUACGAGGUGCUGCAUGGUUGUCGUCAGCUCGUGCCGUGAGGUGUCGGUUAAGUCCCAUAACGAGCGCAACCCCUACCUUUAGUUGCCAUCAGGUAAUGCUGGGGACUCUAAAGGAACUGCCUACGCAAGUAGUGAGGAAGGCGGGGAUGACGUCAAAUCAGCACGGCCCUUACGUCCAGGGCUACACACGUGCUACAAUGGCCGAUACAGAGGGCAGCUACCUGGUGACAGGAUGCAAAUCUCCAAAGUCGGUCUCAGUUCGGAUCGGAGUCUGCAACCCGACUCCGUGAAGUUGGAUUCGCUAGUAAUCGCGCAUCAGCCAUGGCGCGGUGAAUACGUUCCCGGGCCUU